GUGAGUGCCAGGUGAAUUACAAGAGAAUUUUCUAUCUACUGGAGGAUCUUGUGACUUUCUAAGAAUGCACAGGGGCUCUAAAAAGGUGAAAAUGGAACUACUGAGAAGGAUAAGCAAACACACUACAUGUGUUAACUUCAACAUACUCUCAUUCUUUAGUGCACUUUUCCCCACUUUCCCAAUGCAUACACAUACAGGCAAGCACAUGCAUGCAUGCAAACACACACACACACACACACACACACAAUGAGGAUGAGUGGAUGACUCUUAGAGCUCAAAUUACAGCAGGCCCAGAUUCCACUUUCUUCACACUCUAUUACACAAAAAACUCCCACCACAGCAUUCUGCAGACCAGCACAGAGACAGCAGACAGUUGUUUUAUGUGCUAAGGUAAAAUAUGCAUUUCUAGGUAUGUCUGGUCAAGCUUAUUACAUUUUACUGACCAAGCCAUUACAACUACUUUCUUGCACUCUACAUUGCGGUGGAAAUCAACUGGCUAGUUUUACAAGCAAAUAAAGUCUUUUAAAACCAUCAAAAAAUAUCAGUUUUGAAACUAUGAAGAUCUUGGUAAUACUUAAGACUGUGGACAUAUGAUAAUGCUUACCAUCGACUAUUCACAAUAUUAAACACUAUUCUUUGAUGUGAUGUAUUAACAUGAAAAAAACCUACAGGCUUCUGUAUUAAAUAUGCAAAGCCAUGACAGAUCAUGAAUGAUGUAAUCAUUCUGUGAUGCUACUGCACAACCAAGGCUGUAGGACAGCCUUAUAGUGUAGUGGGUGCCAAAGCUGCCUCUCCUGGGGGAGACUGGGGAUCAAUCCCUGUGCACUGGGGUUCAGUCCUAACACUACACUUGCCCACCACUGAAAUUUAAAAUUGUAAGUCACUCUUGAUAAGAGUGCCAAGUCCAUUAAAUGUACUUUUAAUAAAUCACAAACCUCAGCAUUCAGUAAGAAUGUUAUCGCAGCAAGAACACUGUUCUUGAAUCUGUCCUGCCUCAAAAGCAGUGACACACUAAUGAUGUUAAUUUAUUUUUGUUUCUUAAAUUGUGUACUAAUUUAGGAUGACAAGGUGUUUUAAUGUCCACUAAUGCACAGAGUGAUUUUCAUAAGUGGCGCCUCAUCCUGGAUCAUCGUUUAUGUAUUUUUCCUACUUGAGGAUGCAUUUCAAACAAAUUGACACCUACAUCUUUUGGAACGAGAGUCAACACAACAAAUACAUAAUUCUGUGCUAUUUACAUACUACACUAAAAAUAAAUGGUCAUUAACUCUUUACUAAUCUAUUGAUAGAGUUGACACAUAUUUGUGCCAGGUGGACAGCACGUUAUCACCUCAAUUUAUACUAAAUGUUUUCAUGUAGCUUGAAAUAUGAUAUCCAAGUUUAAAUAUAAACCUGGAUGCUCAUUUUCUUUUUGCAUGGAUCCAGUGAGGCAUGUCCAGAGAAACCCAUAAUUGCUCAGUGAGAAGGUAGCCUACUUCAGCUGUGGGAUUUGAACAUUGGUGUUCAGCAUUCUCUUACGCAUUCAAACCUAAAUACUGGUAUAGCUAUUUAACAUAAUUUUAAACAUCAUUUUCAAGAACCAGAUGGAAUUAUUCUGAGCCAUUCUCUGAGAUAAAUGUCCAAUGUCCAAAGACAGAUGUUCUCAAACAUUCUCUAAAGUGCCAAAAAUGUUCCACGCAGACCGGAAAGGGCAUUAGCAAGAGUGUUUGCAGAUGUCAGUUAUUGCAUAAAAAGGAGGAGUUGGCAGGCAGGCAGGCUUGAGUGUGUUUGUCCUUUUGUGGGUGGCCACCAUCAAGGGUGAUGAGCAAGGUGGGCGGAUCCGACAAGCCUGUGUAGCCCUCCCUCACCUGACCAACAGCUCAGGGCCCGUGUGAGCACCUGGCACAUCAGCAAUGACCAUCAAAGCAACAGCACUUCUCAUAAAAUGCAUCCAAGGUGCACACAUAUAAACACAUUGUCCU